AAGUCGUAACAAGGUCUCCGUUGGUGAACCAGCGGAGGGAUCAUUACGAGAGUGCCCGCGGCUCUUCAACCCUGUGCGAACGCUACCGACGUUGCCUCGGCGGCCCCGUCAGCGGGCGCCGCCGCAGGCCCCCCACACCCAGACUCGUUGCAAGCGUGGGCUCUGACUUUAUGACGAAUGCAAAGUAAAAACUCUCAGCAAUGGAUCUCUUGGCUCUG
rnacentral:misc_RNA from 1 species